rnacentral:ncRNA from 1 species
CAUGCAAGUCGAACGGGAAGUGGUGUUUCCAGUGGCGAACGGGUGAGUAACGCGUAAGAACCUGCCCUUGGGAGGGGAACAACAACUGGAAACGGUUGCUAAUACCCCGUAGGCUGAGGAGCAAAAGGAGAAAUCCGCCCAAAGAGGGGCUCGCGUCUGAUUAGCUAGUUGGUGAGGCAAUAGCUUACCAAGGCGAUGAUCAGUAGCUGGUCCGAGAGGAUGAUCAGCCACACUGGGACUGAGACACGGCC